GAUGAACGCUGACAGAAUGCUUAACACAUGCAAGUCUUUGGCGAAGCUGUGCUUGCACAGCCUAGCCAAGGCGGACGGGUGAGUAACGCGUAAGGAACUUGCCCUGCAGUCAGGGAUAACAGACGGAAACGACUGAUAAGACCUGGUAAAGUCAGGCGGACUCAUGUCCAGCCUGAUGAAAAGAGAUGCUGCAGGAGAGCCUUGCGUCCUAUUAGCUUGUUGGUGGGGUAACGGCCCACCAAGGCGAUGAUAGGUAGCCGGCCUGAGAGGGUGGACGGCCACAAGGGGACUGAGAGACGGCCCUUACUCCUACGGGAGGCAGCAGUGGGGAAUAUUGGACAAUGGGGGCAACCCUGAUCCAGCAAUUCGGUGUGCACGAUGAAGGUUUUCGGAUUGUAAAGUGCUUUCAGAAGGGAAGAAAAAAAUGACGGUACCUGCAGAAGAAGCGACGGCUAAAUACGUG
rnacentral:rRNA from 1 species